GUUCAUCUGGAGAUGUCAUCCUGACUCAGACUCCAGAAGUUCAGUCUGUUGUUCCAGGACAGACUGUCUCUAUCAGAUGUAAAGCCAGUUCAAGUAUGGGUAGCUACCUCCACUGGUAUCUUCAGAAACCCUCAGAAGCUCCUAAACUGCUUGUUUAUUAUGCUACAAACCGUCAUUCUGGAGUUUCUGAUCAUUUCAGUGGAAGUGGAUCUGGGACUGAUUUCACUUUGACCAUCAGUGGAGUUCAGGCUGAAGAUGCAGGAGUUUAUUACUGUGGACAAAGUGGUUACAGCCGCCCGUUCACACAGUGA